CUAAAUAUUAAUUGUGCCACGAGGUGUGCGCGUAAUGGCGGUCGUAGAGAACACAGAAUUUUGUUAAGGACGUAGUAAAUGCGGAGUGUGGCUUGGUCUGGGCCCCGGAGCGACUCCCAAGUUCGUGAAUAUGUAUAAUAAUUAAUGUCUAAAGGUGCUUUUGUGCAGCGUUUAUAACUAUAUCUAAGUAUUAAUAUAUCGGAUUUGCUUGGGCGUAUAAAAUUCAAUAUGUCGGAAGGCCUUUGGAGCCACGUCGUAUCGUAUGACGUCACAAGGACGUGAAAUGGAUGAUCGUCUUCUACGAAUUUACUGUUGCUUUAUUUUGCUUAUCGGAAUAGUGUUGUCAAGGAUAGACGUCAUGAGUCUUCCGCUGAGAAUAAGCCCUUUGGGAUUUGUACUUGUGGAGGCAAUAUUAGUGAAAAAUAGAAGAUGUUAAAGGAUUUUAGAGGAUCGUUGUAGCCACGCGGUGCCGUGUGACGUCACGUUACGUGACGUCGUGACAAGAUGCAAAGGCGGCUGGAAUUUGAUCUGGGAGGAUGUUUUUGAAGUCCUUGUGAGGGCCGUACGAGCCUCCUAGCAAUUCCUAUAAAUCGACAGCGUGGACAUAUCAAUCUUUGAUGGAAUUAAGUAAACGGAGCGGCAUUCAGAUUAUGGAAGCGUUAUCUAUACUUGACUCCGCCAUGUUGAUUAGCCAUAUUGACAGGUACCGUGUGUGUACUCGGGUACGGCGGAGUUUUUGAGUUUCUGAAUCCAUAAGUUCAUUAAUAUUAACAGCGAAAGAAGGAGAAACAAUAUCAUCAUCUGUAUAGGCCUGCAUAACUAAGAAGGCUACACUGCUGGUGAUGGUUAUAAUGCUAAAUAAAUGAGAUGUUUGUCUAAGUGUUGCUGUUAUGUGAGGAUCUUAAUAAUGGGUAAUUGGCGGAGAGACUGUGCCGACAGUGCCAAAUAAAAUGAAGCCGAAGUAUAUAUGUAGGAAUGCUGCGAUGUGACGCAUAAAUCAUCUUGAAUUAUGGGUCGCAUCAUUGGCGGCUGGAAUUAUUGACCUUCAUCAAUGGAGGUUAUCGGAAGGGACUCUGGAUGCAAAUAGCCGUCAUAUGUAUCGAACAUUGGAGAUACUACAGGUUACUGUGAUCGAACACAAUUAUGUGCGAAGAAGUGAUAGGAAGUGUUGUGUAUUGUUAAGUCAAAAACGAUAAGAGGUUUCCUUGAUUAUAGAGUUCCUCUGAGCGGAGCUGCUGCUGAUAGAUUGAAAUUGCUGUUUCUCGAAGGGGAAUUAUGAAAUCCCAAUCUCAAUAGAUGUCUCUAGACACGAGUGUAAAUAAUUAGCUGAAUGCUAAUUGGCGAUUGCUGUUUUUAAACUUAGAAUAUUAGAAUUUCAAAAAUGAAAUUAUUUAUUGCAAGAAAAAUAAUUGGAGUAGUACUAUUAUGAGAUGGGGGGGAAACGAAUUAAUUAGAUCGUAAGGCAAUAUUGGUUAAGAGGCGAAAGGAUAGGAUGCUUAAUCUGAUUAAGUAAAAAUAGCCAAAUGAAUGUGUGCAUAGUUGAUGAGAGACUGUAAAACUAAGUAUCAUAAUGACUUGAGAUUUCUUUAAUAUUGUCGGUUGAGAGGCAUGUGGAGUGUCUCCGAGAGGGAUUAUUAUUAUAAAUAAAACAUUGUAAUUGUAUUGCAUUGUAUUCUGGUCAUGCUGUUGUUUCACAACAUGCUCUUAGGAAAGUUACGCUGUGACAUAUAUAUCCUGAAUUGGACGGGUACACCGAAUCAUUGAAAUCUUGUAACUUGUUCGGAUGAAUGCAAUGAUGUGUGAGAGAAUUGGGAAACUAUUAAUGCGUUGUAUACUAUUGUGCUUAAAUAUGUGAAAUAUCCCUGUUUAUACGGACUACUCUUUUGAAUGUAGUUAUCGUUGAUAACCUGAAAUGGUGUAUCUGCCGAGGUGAAUUCAUAAAGCCUUUAUGUUGAAUUAAGAUCUUAGUAGGAGCGGAAGUAAAUUAGCUAAAUGCUUAAAAGUGAUUGUUGUUCUUAAUUGAAAUCUCUGAGAGUGAAAUUGUUCACUCGUAGGAAUUGUAAUGGGAACGGCGUUACUGUGUUAUAGAGGCGAAAUGAUUUAAUUAGAUCUUAUACAAUUUUAUUGUAAGUAAGAAAAAUAUGAUACUAAAUAAGCUUGAAUCUAGUAAAACCGAUGUAUGCGUGUUGACGAAAUAACGUGGAACAUGAAGUGUUUUGUUUUGACUUGUUCUGAUCUGAUUUGAUUCAGCUUAAUAAUAACUCAAUCUAAUAUAGACUGUUAGAACUGGGUUGAACCCUGAACUCGUCUUAAGGAUAGAAAAGAAUCUUGGGCUGCGGGCUUCUUGUUGCGCCAUUGAUAAUUGUGCAUUGUAUUCUGGUCAUGUUGUUCACAACAUGCUUUUAGGGAAAUCUCGUUGUAACAUAUAAGUGAAUUGAAUGGGAACACCGAAUCCUUGAAAUAUUGCAAUCUGCUUAGACUGAAUGCAAUGAUGUGUGAAAGGAUUAGGAAAUCAAUAAUGCGUUGCGUAUUAUUGCGCCUAAAGCUGGGAAAUAUCCCUGCUUAUACGAAACUACUCUCUUGAACGUAAUUAUCACCGACAACUUGAAAUGGUGUUUUCAGCCAAGGUGAAUUCACAGAAUCUUCAUGUUGAACUAAGGUCUUAGUAGGAACGGAAAUAAAUUAGCUGAAUGUUUAAAGUGGUUGUCGUUCUUAAUUGAAAUCUCAGGGAGUGAAUGUUCACUCGUAGGAAUCGUAAUCGGAAUGAUAUCACGGGAGCGAAACGAUUUAAUCAGGCCUUAUACAUCUCUUAGGUGAUCUAUGAACACUGAAUGUUAUUGGGAAUGAACGCCUCGAAUGAGAGGCUUAGCGAUUACUUGAAGUUAAGAAACAAGAAUAAAUAUCUGCUCGACUCGGUGGUAUGUGUUGCGAACGGGAGAAGUUAAGAAAAAUGAUAGACAGUUAACUAUUAAGGAAUAUAUAGAAUGGCGAGUUAUGUCACUGUAGGAACAUUCACAUGCUAACUUAAAUUUGAUCUGAAUGUACUGAUUUGGUACAAGUGUAUAAUUGCACAAUUUCCAUUAUAGUUGCAUAAAAAUUAAACGAUUUGAUGAAUAAUCUGACGAUAAUUUUGAAUCCCAAGUCGUUAAGCGGGAAACAGACUAAGAAACGAAUAAAUUAAUAUUACUAGACGAUUGCUUUGUCUCUGAGGAUACUGAUUGGGUAACGCAGAGUAUAUAAUAUAUAUAUUUAACUAACAAAUGAGAAAUUAGAAAUUGGUUCGCAUAUAUGCCAUAGUGGCUUGCGAUUGGUCCUGGAAGACCCUGGAUCUGGGAAUUCCCUAGAUCAUGAAAAAUUUUCUUGCGAAUGAUUCUAGUGUCUUCUGGGUUAUUGAGAUGCGCUGAUAUAUGUCGCUUAUAUUGUAUCGAAAAAUCGGCCAGUAUACUGACGGAACUGUAAAAUCUAAAGUUGAUGGAGGUCUCACUUGGGAUUGGCCUUUGCGAACCCUAGAUCUGGGGAAUUCCCUAGAUUUCUUGGGUCAUGGAGAUUCUCUUCAUAAAAAUGUUAGCACUUCCGAGCUAUUAUGAUGUGCUGAUGUUUGUCGUGUGUGCUGUGUACUGAGUAUGGUACUCAUUGAUGGAAGUAGUAUGGUCGGGAGCUUAUGAGAAAUUAAAAUGGUAUAGCUGAUCGAUCUGCCGUUUGUUGAGGCUAAUGAUGUCAUAAUACGUUCGAGCUUUGCCGUACACUCUGUGGAGCUUAGUGGUCUUGCGUAAUUAGCGGAUACAGUGGGCGGAGGUAUGAUCGGCGUGAUUUCUGAGUUCACUGGUGUUGAAAUACUGCUCGAUAGCGAUAUCUGGGCUGUUUGUUGAACGGAUAUAUUGGAUGAAGAAGAUACGGUUGAGAAAUCAUGGCAGUGGGAGGAUUGCGGGAUGCUUGGCUGUCAGAGGUAUAAUUUUUGGUGUUGGCUUGCUGCUGUCUGUUAAACUGGAGACGACGAUUAAGGUGUGGGAAGGUUAUGGCGACGGUGUUAGACCAGCCAAGGUCAUGGUCAUGGUCAUGAUUCUGAUGAUGAAAGAAAAUAGUUGAACUCGCAGGACUAUCGUACUGGUAGAUGUAGACUGAAUAUGUAUAAAUCACAUUGUUAAUAAUGAUAUACUGCUGAUGAAGAAUUACUGCAUCGGACAACAAUAGCUGACGGAGGAAUCGUUGGAUAUAAGUACCGGAACUCUAGAUGCAGGACAUUGUUGGUUGCUAGGACUUAAAGUGUCCUGUCCUUCGAGUUGUGGGAAUCUGAUCGAGAUUAAUUAUAUUAGAAUACGUGGCAUAGGACCAGUAAUUAACUAGGUCAUGCUCGUUGACUGCAAGUAUCACUGGGCACUGGAAAUGUGAGUGAUUGAUAAGGAAUACACAACUCGAUUGGAUGUACACAUCAGGGUUAAAGCAGCUGAGAUUAGGGAUGAUGCGUUGUAUGUACCAUUUAUUUAUGAGUAUGAGAUAUGAGUGGGCUAAAUUUCAUGUUGGAACUGCUUCAUAGUAAGAGAGAAUAAAUAAAUAAGUAAUGAUAUGAUAUGAUACGAUAGUUAUAUCACCAAUGGGGAAAUUGUUAAACUAUUGUAUGUAAAUGACGAUUUACGUAAUGAUGGGAUGGUCAUUAUGAUUAACUGGAAAAUAUGAAAUUAAGGUUUAUACAUUUGACGGAGAUGUCAGAAACUGAAGUUUACUAAAGAUAAGUUAAGUUGAUUUUGAUCGCUUGAAGUGGCAAAUCUUGGUGUAUAUUUGGAACUAACACUAAUUGAGUCAUGAAGAGGUGGAAAUAUUAAUAAGAAUUUGUACGGAAGUUUACUACUAUUAACAUUAUUAUUAAUAAUAGCUUCUAAAUUGAUCUGCUGAUAAUUAUCUUAGUUGAGAAAACUCUUGAAUAUUGUAAAUCUUACGACUUGAAAAUUAUGGAAAGACUAAAACCUUCUAGCAAGGAGAACUCUAUUAGGGAGGGUUUGCAUAGGUAAUAGAAGGACAAGAUUUAAUAAAUCAAUCGAUGAUAUGAAGGUUAUAGUAAUUAAUCGAGAACUGUGAAAGGAAAGUACACACUAAUGGAGCUCUGAUAAGGUAGAAUUUAAGAAUUGUAUUGGAGAGGAUUUGCAUAUCAGAGAAAUAGAACUUAAUAAAUAGUAAUAGACAUUAAUUUAUAAAGGAUAUGAAAGUCAUAAUGAUUAACUGAGAAUAUGUAAUUGGUAAAAUGUCAGAGAUGAAAAUUUAUUAAACAAUUUUAAUGUAACAUAAAAAUAAAAAUCUGAUAGGCGUCGGGCUCUUUACAAAUUACUAAUUGCUGGGUUGGAUUAAAUUAAUUCAACAAGUAAUUGAAUUGUAAAAUCAAAGCGUGUUUGUUUUAGCGGGGGUCUUGAUAUUUGCACUACAAUAUGAAAGAAUUUAAUUUAAAAUAAAUUAUUGAAAUUAUACCAGGAAUGAAUAAACAAGUAAUUUUGUUUAUGAAAUACUGAUUGAAAAUUAAUAAGAUCCUGGGUGAAAUAGUAUUCUAUGUAAUACGGUGAUGGAAGGGUAAUAUCUAUAUACACUUGUUGCAUGCACCUUGUUGCGUUGUUUGUAUCUCAUUAUUAUCAUGGUGUUAAUUUUAUGAACAAAAUUGUAAAUAAAGAAAAUACAUGAUGAA